rnacentral:rRNA from 1 species
UACGGAGGGUGCAAGCGUUAUCCGGAUUCACUGGGUUUAAAGGGUGUGUAGGCGGUCGUUUAAGUCAGUGGUGAAAUCUCCAGGCUCAACCUGGAAACUGCCAUUGAUACUAUUCAUCUUGAAUUCUGUUGAGGUGGGCGGAAUAUAUCAUGUAGCGGUGAAAUGCUUAGAUAUGAUAUAGAACACCGAUUGCGAAGGCAGCUCACUAAGCAGCGAUUGACGCUGAGGCACGAAAGCCAGGGGAGCAAACGGG